AGGGGGUGAACCAGCAGAUGGAAGAGCUCUCUCCCUCUUUCCAUAACUGUGCUAUUCAAAUAAAUAAGUAGAUAAAUCUCAAAAAAAUUCAGAAGUUAAAUAACAGAUUGGUUUUUCAUGACAUCAAGAAAAAGAAACACUGUGUUUUAGAAGCUGGAGAGCGUAGGGCCUAGGCGCACAAGUUUUACAAAGGGGAGAGGUAGUGGCUCCAUCUUCCUGCCUUGCAAUCAUCUUUUGAGUAGUGGAUGGUUGGUAUUGCUGAGUCACAUUUUUGUAAGAGAAAACUUAAGCCAUUUCCCUAAAUUACACUCCAGAGUUAGUGACUCCAAUGCACCUUCACUGUCCUAGGCUGCUACCCCUUGGCCCUAUCCUUACUCUCAGAGACUUUGCGAGGGAAUAGGAAAUUAAAUGAUGAAAUUGGCAUGCAACUCUUUGAAUGAAAUGCUCACCUUACCAAGUUUUCACGAGGAAAAUUGCUCUUGAUGGUAGCUGCCCGCCUUGGUCCCACUCAGGUGCAGAACGCCUCCCAGGCCGAGCCUUGAUUUUUCAACCACUAGGUGGCAGUGCAAGCACGGCCCAAGGCGCCCCUGACGUGCCAACCACAGCGACCGGCGCGAGGUUUCGCAACCAGGCCAGGGUUAGUCAUCCCGCGACUGCAGCGCUGCCUUGUCAGUUUCAGUGUGUUUAUUACUGGCGUUUCUCUCUGCCCUUCAACCUCCCCGGAGGCGGCGUGGCUUUGCUAGCAGCUCUGGGACUGUCUAUUGAGUGUAGCGAGUGCGGGAAGAGCUUCCUGGGCUUGCUGUCUCGUGAGUGCAAGCCAUUUCCAUCCCUGGAUCCAGGCUGCGGGCCUCCCGGCGGCGCCCCAAGUCUCUCCGUCGGUCUGCAGAACCCAGCCCUCGGCCGCAAGCUUUCCAGUCACUUGGGUGCUAUGACCAGCUGUAGAGCCUUGCUCCGUGUCCACUGUGAGCCCCAACGGAAGAAUCACGUGGCGGGCAGGCGUUCCACACCAUCAGGCCUCAGCAGCGGGUGUAGUUCCAAGAAUGGUAAAUUGGGAAGAAUAAAGAUGGGUCUUCAGACUGAUGCACAAAGAUGA
rnacentral:lncRNA from 1 species